ACUCAAUGCACGCCGGUAGCAGCUGCUGGGUCGUGACCGCGGGAGCCGGCCGCUGGCUGUGGCGGUCUGCGCAUACACAGCCCAGCGCGGAGGCAGACCGCUCGAAAAGAUACGCGUGGUCCUGCUUGGAGCGUGUAGUACGGUAUCUCGCGCGUACAAGCGUUCGGGGCACUGUUUUCUUAAGCGGAGAUGCGCGGGCAUACAGAAGACCCAGGGACCGAAUUCAACAAAGCUCUCAUGUUAUUAAGUGCCGUUUCCCAUUGGAGGGGCCGGCUUCGCUAAUAUAUGUCCGCCAUCACGGCUGUCUGACGUCCACUCUUACGUACAGUUCUAGUGAUUUGUAUUAUUGUACGACGUUGUUUAUAUUGUUACGGCGUAACCAAGAGUAGCGCCAGUCAGAAGAAGACGAUUUAACGUGUAGAGGUGGAAUCGGCCGUGACAGCCAUCUUGUUUAUGCAUCGUUGUCUCUCUUGGAAAUAUUAAUUAUGCAUUCGACGUCCUGUAUUCUGCACUGCCUCCGGGUUUGGGCCAAGCACUCAUUCCAGCCAGCACGUACAGCAAACUAAGCGUAGGGUUGUCGAAUCGCAACAUCAACAUCGUGGAGGGAAAAAAUAAAAGCCCAAAAGAGAUGCGCGGCAGAAAGAGCCCAGUGGAGAUUUGGACGGAGGCGAGAAGAGUGGCAUUACAGAAAACCAGACAGCCUGGUAAAUGGCACUACCGGCAACGCUGAGUCCAUCGAGACAGAGAAGCUGACGCGAGCCGACACCUUGACACAUGUAUUCAGGCACAAAGUGCAAAUCUUGAGCAAAUAAAAG